rnacentral:rRNA from 1 species
AUUGAACGCUGGCGGCAGGCCUAACACAUGCAAGUCGAGCGAGCGGCGGACGGGUGAGUAAUGCCUGGGAAUUGCCCAGUCGAGGGGGAUAACAGUGGGAAACGACUGCUAAUACCGCAUACGAUUGGAUUGCCCAGGUGGGAUUAGCUAGUUGGUGAGGUAAUGUCUCACCAGGGCGACGAUCCCUAGCUGGUCUGAGAGGAUGAUCGGCCAAAUUGGAACUGGGACACGUCCCAGAUUCCUACGGGAGGCAGCAGUGGGGAAUAUUGCACAAUGGGGGAAACCCUGAUGCAGCCAUGCCGCGUGUGUGAAGAAGGCCUUCGGGUUGGAAAGCACUUUCAGCGAGGAGGCGUUACUCGCAGAAGAAGCACCGGCUAACUACGUGCCAGCAGCCGCGGUAAUUC